CAGGAAGGUGUUGAGCAUGAGGUUUGGCUGUGAAACGAGUUGGCAUGAAAAUUCAGACCAGGAAGCCAUGCACUUUAUGCAACAGUCCUAUUAUUUGGCAUUCCAAUAUGACAUUAGAAAUGAGGGCUAUAAGAAUUUCAUAAGCCUCACAUCUAACACAACUAGAUUACAGGAAGAAAAGGGUUCAAGAAUGCAAUUAUGGGAAUAACAGAUAAUCCCAAUCUAACAUGAAAGAAUAGCACAGAAAUUCUAAGACCAAAUUAGACAUUUGACAUGAGGCUAUUACAAAGAGUUAACAACUUGACUCAUAUAUUUUCAGUAGUUUGACCUUCCAUGACAAGCAAGUAAUUAUUAUGCAUUAUCAAUAUGUAAGGCUCCUUUACAUGAUAAUCUUAGUUACAUCAAACUCGACU
rnacentral:misc_RNA from 1 species